rnacentral:rRNA from 1 species
UACGAAGGGUGCAAACGUUGCUCGGAAUUAUUGGGCGUAAAGCGCACGUAGGCGGCAUUGCAAGUCGGAUGUGAAAUCCCUCGGCUUAACCAAGGAAGUGCAUCCGAAACUGCAGUGCUUGAGUACUUAAGAGGAUCGCGGAAUUCCCGGUGUAGAGGUGAAAUUCGUAGAUAUCAGGAGGAACACCAGUGGCGAAGGCGGCUUUCUGGACGGUAACUGACGCUGAGACGCGAAAGCGUGGGGAGCAAACAGGG